CCUACGGGAGGCAGCAGUCGAGAAUCAUUCACAAUGGGGGAAACCCUGAUGGUGCGACGCCGCGUGGGGGAAUGAAGGUCUUCGGAUUGUAAACCCCUGUCAUGUGGGAGCAAAUUAAAAAGAUAGUACCACAAGAGGAAGAGACGGCUAACUCUGUGCCAGCAGCCGCGGUAAUACAGAGGUCUCAAGCGUUGUUCGGAAUCACUGGGCGUAAGGCGUGCGUAGGCUGUUUCGUAAGUCGGGUGUGAAAGGCGCGGGCUCAACCCGCGGACGGCACAUGAUACUGCGAGACUAGAGUAAUGGAGGGGGAACCGGAAUUCUCGGUGUAGCAGUGAAAUGCGUAGAUAUCGAGAGGAACACUCGUGGCGAAGGCGGGUUCCUGGACAUUAACUGACGCUGAGGCACGAAGGCCAGGGGAGCGAAAGGGAUUAGAUACCCGAGUAGUC
rnacentral:rRNA from 1 species